rnacentral:rRNA from 1 species
AGAAUCAACGCUGGCGGCGUGCCUAACACAUGCAAGUCGAACGAGAAAGGGGAGCAAUCCCUGAGUACAGUGGCGACCGGGUGAGUAACACGUGACUAACCUACCCUCGAGUGUGGAAUAACAUCGGGAAACCGAUGCUAAUACCGCAUAAUAUCGCAAGAUCAAAGGAGUAAUCCGCUUGAGGAGGGGUCGCGGCUGAUUAGCUAGUUGGCGGGUAAUGGCCCACAAGGCGAAGAUCGGUA